rnacentral:lncRNA from 1 species
GGAUCACGAGGUCAGGAGAUCAAGACCAUCCUGGCCAACAUGAUCAGGAAAUUGAGGUCCAGUGAGGUGUCUUGGCCAGGACACUCAGUCAGGACGUGACAUGAACACAGGACUGUCUGACUUCAAAUCCAGUGCUCCUUCCCCUGCAGUCCCCACCCCACUGACUGGGGGACAGUGCUCCAGGCAGCUGGAAUGGGACACGGUUUGUGUGGCAGCGAGAUAUCCAGGCUCUCCUCCUUCCAGAUCUAAGGAUUCAAACCCAGGUCUGCUUGACUAGGAAGGCCGGCCCUCUCCAUGGUGCCAGGACAACUCUUUGGAGAAGAUGCCCCUCUCUCUGCCUGCCUGAAUCUUCUCCGUCCACAAAGGCCUGCUCCAUCCUCCCUCCUCCAGGAAGCUUUCCCUGACUGUCCCCGGGCCCAGCCAGGGUGUCUGGGGGGCUGGAGAGACCCACAGAGCCCUGAUCACCGUGGCUGGCCCGUAAGUGUGGCGACUGAGUCCCAGUCUGGAGGCACAGCUGGACUUUCCCAGAGAGAACUGAGGCAUUGUGGGAAUUUCCCAGCUGUGACCCCAGGACCCUGAUUGCCCAGAAUGGCUCCAAGUUCACAUAUCUAGGGACCGUCACCAAGACUCCUGUAUCUAUAUUAAACUCGGUAAAUGUGA